rnacentral:rRNA from 1 species
AUGAGCCGUUGGGCCCAUUGGAGGAGAGAUCAAUCUAACAGGCUGUUCAAUGCAGCUGGGAUUGUACCAGUAAGGUGGUUGUUAGAAAAAUCUAGUACCAGCAGGUUUGUGAGAUUGCAUACUGACAUUGGAAUCUGUCCUGUUAGGUCGUUGAAGCUCAAAUUUAGUGAAAGAAGAGAUUUCAGCUGGCCAAUCCCCAGAGGGAUCUCACCAGUUAAUUUAUUGUUGCUUAGAUCGAGCCUUAGCGCAGUGGUAAAGCUGUUGCCUUGUGACCAUGAGGUCACGGGUUCAAGUCCUGGAAACAGCCUCUUACAGAAAUGUAGGGAAAGGCUGCGUACAAUAGACCCAAAGUGGUCGGACCCUUCCCCAGACCCUGCGCAAGCGGGAGCUACAUGCACUGGGGCUGCCCAUUUUAGAUCCAUCACUUUGGUGAAAGCAAUGGGUAUGCGAUACUGA